AGCAUCCACAAGCAUAUACAAAAGUUGCUGCGUUUAAAAAGCUCGUAGUUGGAUCUGUUACGCGGGCCCUACUAAAAUUGUGUUGCUACUUGCACCAAUGGGGUCCGUGUACCUGGCCGCUGAGAGCUCUUGCGCUUAACUGUGUCGAGAGUUCUAGGCGGAAGUUUUACUUUGAAUAAAUUAGAGUGUUCAAAGCAGCCUUUGGGUUUGGAUAUCAGAGCAUGGAAUAAUGGAACAGGGCUGUGUCCCAAGUAUGUUGGUCAUUGGCGAUACGGUAAUGAUUAAAAGGGACAAGCGGGGGCAUUCGUAUUGCUACGUUAGAGGUGAAAUUCUUGGAUCGUAGCAAGACGGACUACUGCGAAAGCAUUUGCCAAGAGUGUUUUUAUUAAUCAAGAACGAA
rnacentral:rRNA from 1 species